rnacentral:rRNA from 1 species
GACGAACGCUGGCGGCGUGCUUAACACAUGCAGGUCGAGCGGUAAGGCCUUUCGGGGUACACGAGCGGCGAACGGGUGAGUAACACGUGGGCGACCUGUCCUCCACUCUGGGAUAAGCCCGGGAAACUGGGUCUAAUACCGGAUAUGACCUCUCAUCGCAUGGUGGGUGGUGGAAAGUGUUUCGGUGGGGGAUGGGCCCGCGGGCUAUCAGCUUGUUGGUGGGUUGAUGGCCUACCAAGGCGACGACGGGUAGCCGGCCUGAGAGGGCGACCGGCCACACUGGGACUGAGACACGGCCCAGACUCCUACGGGAGGCAGCAGUGGGGAAUAUUGCGCAAUGGGCGGAAGCCUGACGCAGCGACGCCGCGUGGGGGAUGACGGCCUUCGGGUUGUAAACCUCUUUCGCCAGGGACGAAGCGUGAGUGACGGUACCUGGAUAAGAAGCACCGGCCAACUACGUGCCAGCCGCCGCAGUAA